rnacentral:rRNA from 1 species
GACGAACGCUGGCGGCGUGCUUAACACAUGCAAGUCGAACGGUGAAGCGCUUGCCUUUUUGGUGGGUGUGGAUGAGUGGCGAACGGGUGAGUAACACGUGAGUAACCUGCCCUCUUCUUCUGGAUAACCUCAUGAAAGUGGGGCUAAUACGGGGUAUUCCGGGUCUGUCGCAUGGCGGGUUUGGGAAAGAUUGCGCCUUUGGGUGUUUUCGGUGGGGGAUGGGCUCGCGGCCUAUCAGCUUGUUGGUGGGGUGAUGGCCUACCAAGGCGGUGACGGGUAGCCGGCGUGAGAGGGUGGGCGGCCACACUGGGACUGAGACACGGCCCAGACUCCGGCGGGAGGCAGCAGUGGGGAAGAUUGCACAAUGGGCGCAAGCCUGAUGCAGCGACGCCGCGUGAGGGAUGGAGGCCUUCGGGUUGUGAACCUCUUUCGCCAGUGAAGCAGGCCUGCUCCUGUGUGGGUGGGUUGACGGUAGCUGGAGAAGAAGCGCCGGCUAACUACGUG